AGGAAGAUAAGAAAACAAAACUCUUUCGAAUUCUGUAUAUACACUCUUUGUUAUCUGCUUUUUGGUCAUUAUUGAUGUUUUUGUUUUGUCUGGACAGGGUUAAAUUCUUUGAAUUAAAAACUCAUUGAACUCAACAAUUGGAUUGAAGAAGGACUCUGAACAUACUGGUCUAUUGAAUACCUUUUGCUUUGCAAAUGGUUUUUAAAUCUAUGUUUAAACAACUUGGUAGUUUCGAAGGUGGAGAUUAGUACCAAGCAUUACACAAUCCUGGAACAUCUUCAACCCCAUUUUCGCCUUCUGAGUCUUCUGAAUCACCAUCGUCCGAACUGCUACUACAUUGCUGGAAUCGGAAGAGCAUUUGGUUUCUUUUGCCUAGCAAGGAAUUUUGCAAGACGGAACUGUGUUUUUGGUCUAUGAUGUUCAUAUAUUUUACCAUGUUUUC